rnacentral:rRNA from 1 species
GACGAACGCUGGCGGCGUGCUUAACACAUGCAAGUCGAACGGAAAGGCCCUGCGUUUGUUGGUUGGUCGAUUGCCGAACGGGUGAGUAUCACGCGUGUAACCUCUCCUUGUCUUAGUGAUAUCUUUAGGGAACUCGGGCGAUUAUACCAUAUGAUCUCCUGCUGCGUGUUGGGCGUUGGUAAGUUUCGGCGGUUGUGUAUCGACUCGCGGCUUAUCAGCUUGUUGGUGGGGUAGUGGCUUACCAAGGUUUUGACGGGUAGCCGGCCUGAGAGGGUGAACGGCCACCUUGGGACUGAGAUACGGACCAGACUCCUACGGGAGGCAGCAGUGGGGAAUAUUGCACAAUGGGCGGAAGCCUGAUGCAGAAACGCCGCGUGCGGGAUGACGGCCUUCGGGUUGUAAACCGCUUUCGCAUGUGACGAAGAGUGAGUGACGGUAAUGGGUAAAGAAGCACCGGCUAACUACGUG